rnacentral:rRNA from 1 species
UACGGAGGGUGCAAGCGUUAUCCGGAUUCACUGGGUUUAAAGGGUGCGUAGGUGGGUUGGUAAGUCAGUGGUGAAAUCCCCGAGCUUAACUUGGGAACUGCCAUUGAUACUAUUAAUCUUGAAUACCGUGGAGGUUAGCGGAAUAUGUCAUGUAGCGGUGAAAUGCUUAGAUAUGACAUAGAACACCAAUUGCGAAGGCAGCUGGCUACACGAAUAUUGACACUGAUGCACGAAAGCGUGGGGAGCGAACAGGA